AGUGACGUACGGGUGCGUAACACGUAUGCAACCUACCCUUUACAGGCGGAUAGCUCGGGGAAACUCGAAUUAACCCGCCGUAACAUAUCGGAGAGGCAUCUUUUUGAUAUUAAAUCUGAGGAGGUAAAGGAUGGGCAUGCGUCUGAUUAGUUAGUUGGCGGGGUAACGGCCCACCAAGACGAUGAUCAGUAGGGGAACUGAGAGGUUGAUCCCCCACACUGGCACUGAGAUACGGGCCAGACUCCUACGGGAGGCAGCAGUAGGGAAUAUUGGUCAAUGGAUGGAAGUCUGAACCAGCCAUGCCGCGUGCAGGAAGAAGGCCUUCUGGGUUAUAAACUGCUUUUGCCAGGGGCUAAAAAGCUCAUGCGUGAGAAAUUGAAAGUACCUGGUGAAUAAGCCACGGCUAACUACGUGCCAGCAGCCGCGGUAAUACGUAGGUGGCAAGCGUUGUCCGGAUUUAUUGGGUUUAAAGGGUGCGUAGGCGGCUUUGUAAGUCAGUGGUGAAAUAUGGCAGCUUAACUGUCAGUGUGCCAUUGAUACUGCGGAGCUUGAGUACAGAUGAGGUAGGCGGAAUUGACGGUGUAGCGGUGAAAUGCUUAGAUAUCGUCAAGAACACCUAUAGCGAAGGCAGCUUACUAGGCUGUAACUGACGCUGAUGCACGAAAGUGUGGGGAUCAAACAGGAUUAGAUACCCUGGUAGUCCACACUGU
rnacentral:rRNA from 1 species